UCCUGGUUAGCUCAGUUGGUUCAGCGCUUCACUGGGAAUGGAGAGGUGCCUGGUUCGAUAUCAGAACCAGGCG
rfam:Ixodes scapularis strain Wikel colony gcontig_1108379362570, whole genome shotgun sequence.